rnacentral:rRNA from 1 species
CCCUUAGUUAUCCUAGGCCGCACGCGUGUUACAAUGACUUUUUCAGCAAGUUCUCCUGGCCCGAGAGGGUGCGGGUAAUCUGAAAUCAAAGUCGUGUUAGGGAUAGAUCUUUGCAAUUAUAGAUCUUGAACGAGGAUUUUGUAGUAAGUGCGCGUCAUCACCGCGUACUGACUGCGUCCCUGCUGUUUGUACACACCGCCCGUCGCUUCUACCGAUUGAAUGUUCCGGUGAGUAAUUUGGACCCGGGGGGGGCUUGCUCCUCUGGGGAAGUUUCGCAAACCUAUGCAUUUAGAGGAAGAAGAAGUCGUAACA